UACGUAGGGUGCGAGCGUUGUCCGGAAUUAUUGGGCGUAAAGAGCUCGUAGGCGGUUUGUCACGUCUGCUGUGAAAUCCCGAGGCUCAACCUCGGGCCUGCAGUGGGUACGGGCAGACUGGAGUGCGGUAGGGGAGACUGGAAUUCCUGGUGUAGCGGUGAAAUGCGCAGAUAUCAGGAGGAACACCGGUGGCGAAGGCGGGUCUCUGGGCAGUAACUGACGCUGAGGAGCGAAAGCGUGGGGAGCGAACAGG
rnacentral:rRNA from 1 species